UGGGGAAUCUCGCGCAAUGCGCGAAAGCGUGACGCAGCAACGCCGCGUGGGGGAAGACGGCCUUCGGGUUGUAAACCCCUUUCAGUUGGGACGAAGCCCCGACCGUUAAUAGCGGUUCGGGGUGACGGUACCUUCAGAAGAAGCCCCGGCCAACUACGUGCCAGCAGCCGCGGUAAUACGUAGGGGGCGAGCGUUGUCCGGAAUCAUUGGGCGUAAAGAGCGUGUAGGCGGCCCGGUAAGUCCGCCGUGAAAGCCCAGGGCUCAACCCUGGGAUGCCGGUGGAAACUGCCGGGCUAGAGUCCGGAAGGGGCGAGUGGAAUUCCUGGUGUAGCGGUGAAAUGCGCAGAUAUCAGGAGGAACACCGAUGGCGAAGGCAGCUCGCUGGGACGGUACUGACGCUGAGACGCGAAAGCGUGGGGAGCAAACAG
rnacentral:rRNA from 1 species